rnacentral:rRNA from 1 species
AUUGAACGCUGGCGGCAUGCUUUACACAUGCAAGUCGGACGGCAGCACAGAGAAGCUUGCUUCUUGGGUGGCGAGUGGCGAACGGGUGAGUAAUAUAUCGGAACGUACCGAGUAAUGGGGGAUAACUAAUCGAAAGAUUAGCUAAUACCGCAUAUUCUCUGAGGAGGAAAGCAGGGGACCUUCGGGCCUUGCGUUAUUCGAGCGGCCGAUAUCUGAUUAGCUAGUUGGUGGGGUAAAGGCCUACCAAGGCGACGAUCAGUAGCGGGUCUGAGAGGAAGAUCCGCCACACUGGGACUGAGACACGGCCCAGACUCCUACGGGAGGCAGCAGUGGGGAAUUUUGGACAAUGGGCGCAAGCCUGAUCCAGCCAUGCCGCGUGUCUGAAGAAGGCCUUCGGGUUGUAAAGGACUUUUGUCAGGGAAGAAAAGGCUGUUGCUAAUAUCGACAGCUGAUGACGGUACCUGAAGAAUAAGCACCGGCUAACUACGUG